GCGGUCGUGGCGAAGUGGUUAACGCACCGGAUUGUGGCUCCGGCAUUCGUGAGUUCGAUUCUCAUCGACCGCCCCA
rnacentral:tRNA from 1 species